rnacentral:rRNA from 1 species
GUGACAGCAGCCGCGGUAAUACGUAGGUGGCAAGCGUUGUCCGGAAUUAUUGGGCGUAAAGCGCGCGCAGGCGGUCCUUUAAGUCUGAUGUGAAAGCCCACGGCUCAACCGUGGAGGGUCAUUGGAAACUGGGGGACUUGAGUACAGAAGAGAAGAGUGGAAUUCCACGUGUAGCGGUGAAAUGCGUAGAGAUGUGGAGGAACACCAGNGGCGAAGGNGACUCUNNGGUCUGUAACUGACGCUGAGGNGCGAAAGCGUNGGGAGCAAACA